rnacentral:tmRNA from 1 species
GGGUCCGUACCGGUUUCGACAGGUUGGCGAAAGCUGCUCUGUGAUUCAGGUCGAGAGUGAGUCUCCUCUCGCAAAUCAAAGGCUCAAAACAAAAGUAAAUGCGAACAACAUCGUAUCUUUCGCUCGUAAGCCCGUUGCAGCUAUUGCAUAGGUAAAACACCUCUUAUAGGUUCGAGCCUCCCUAGUCUGAUUCCGUUAAGGACUUCGGAGCUAACCCCAACGGAUGCGCUCAUUAGUUACCUCUGGUUGAUUAAUUAGCAAAGACCUCACCAGAGCAUCCUGCCGUUCGGGAUAAUGAACGUUCCCCGUCCCGAGGGUAAAAGGGACUAAACCUGUGAAUGAGCGGGGGGUCAAUACCCAGUCUGGACAGCAGUUCGACUCUGCUCGGAUCCACUA